AUGUCAACUAUUUCAUGCCCUCUUUUUUCCACACUAUCUAUUGCAUCUGUCUCUCAUGCAAUGUAUGUACAUUCAACUAUGUUUCCUGUUUAUCAGCCAUUUGAAUUGGAGCGGGUGAUGUCAGUAUCUAGCGGACUAAAAACACGGUCUUCAAAUAAAACAGUGCUACCUCUUGGUGGAGAUAGCACCCCAGUUGUACAUGCACACGAACCAGCCCUACCACACAUAACCCAAACUCUCACAGAUUGUACCCCUACUAUGAUGGACAGAGAACCAGCUUCACCCAAUCUAACCCCAACCCGAGCCGAUAGUAACCCAGUUCCUGUUGACACAGUACCAUCUCCACCAUAG
rnacentral:rRNA from 1 species